rnacentral:tRNA from 1 species
GCCUGGGUGGCUUAAUUGGUUAAGCAUCUGACUCUUGUUUUAGCUCAGGUCAUGAUCUCACAGUUUGUAGGUUCGAGCCCCACGUCAGGCU